GCUGUAGCUCAGCGGUAGAGUAUUGGGCCCAUAACCCAAGAGUCACCGGAUCGAAACCGGUCAGCG
rnacentral:tRNA from 1 species